rnacentral:lncRNA from 1 species
GAAUGUCUCAGAAUUAGCUUUCAUCUCUUCUUGGUCCUCUAAGGACACUGGAAAUAAGGCACAGAGUCCCCAAGACUCUGGCACAGAUAGCAAUGACCUCUGAUCUUGGAGAGAACGAGAUAUUAACUAAGAGGAAUAAGAUAGAGAGUAAGCAAGCAUCUAUUAUGUUCUGUCACUCCCAUUUAAUAGAUGAGGAAACUGAAGUUCAGUUACUGGACCAGGACCAUGUGAGAGUGAAAUAGCAAAUCUGGGAUCUAAACAGAGCCCAUCUAACAGGGGCGUACAGGUCAGCCAGUUAGCACAGCUUAGAGAGCUGCUUAUAUUUGAUCUCUCCAGCUCCAUCUCAGACCUGUAGGCUUCUCUCUCAAGUCUUGAGUGAGAACUUUGCCAGGAAGAUGGGAAGUUCUCCUCAUGGAAUUUGAGAAACCACUGACUAAAGAAUAAGCCUCAACAGUAUCUCUGACGGCCUUAAAAAGUAGUAAAUACCAUACAUACACAGUAGUAAAGCCAAGGUCCCAGGCUGUGGAGGUGAAGGGGCUGGAGUGUCUUUUUUAAAAAGUGAUAAACAUUGAAAAUGACACCAUCUACCCCUUGGUCAUUCUGAAGGUACCAUGCAAAUUCUGUUCUUAGACCAAUACCUAAAUUGUUUUAAUUAAUAAACCUUAUUUUGAUGAGUUAAUGUAAUGCUCUUAACCUCUACUAUAUGUUGGACAAGAGGAAAUAAGUUACUCUGAGAUAACUCUUGAAAGAUCCUAAUAGGUUUGAAUUGCUAGGCAUCCAAGAAGUUACUCAGAAAAGUGACUGACAUCGCUUUAAAAUUAACAUAUGCCUGCAAGGCUGAGCCCAUAGGGUUUCCUUCCUUCUCCACUGAAUUUCUAAGUGUCAGGAAUCCUCAUCUCCAUGGCCUGUGACAUGACAGGGCCCCUUCUUUUUUUUUUGUCUUUUUGCCUUUUCUAGGGCCGCUUCUGCGGCAUAUGGAGGUUCCCAGGCUAGGGGUCUAAUCGGAGCUGUAGCCGCCGGCCUACGCCACAGCCACAGCAACGCAGGAUCUGAGCUGCGUCUGCAACCUACACCACAGCUCAUGGCAAUGCUGGAUCCUUAACCCACUGAGCGAGGCCAGGGAUUGAACCCACUCAAUCCGAGUUCCUGGUUCCUAGUUGGACUCGUUAACCACUGAGCCAUGACGGGAACUCCAUGGGCCCCUUCAGUUACAAAAUUGCUUUGGGAAACCUCCAAGCCUGGAGAGCUAGGACUAGAAUCUAGAACAGGAGUGCUCUGAGCACUGCCUGCCAUGUUCCCUCCUCCACAGUACACAGGAGCAUUCAUUAAAGAUCAUGCUUUUGCAUAAGGCAGCCAACAGCAGCAGCACCUGUCAUCUGAAGCCAAGGUCCCAGGCUGCAGAGUUGAAAGAGCUGGAGUGUCUUUUAAAAAAAAAUUAUCUUUUAAUUGCAGUAUAAUUGACUUAAAAUGUGUUAGUUUCAAGUGUACAGCAAAGUGAGUCAAUUAUACAUAUAUAUCUAUUUUCUCUUAUAGGUUAUUUCAAAAUAUUGAGUCUAGUUCCCUGGGCUAUACAGUAGGUCCUUGUUGGUUGUCUGUUUUAUAUAUAGUGGUGUAUAUCCGUUAAUCCCAAAGUCCUAAUUUAUCCCUCCCCCACUUCCUAUUUGAUAACUGUAAGUUUGUUUUCCAUGUCUGUGGAUCUAUUUCUGUUUUCUACAUAAGUUCAUUUGUAUCUUUUCUUAGAUUCUACAUAUAAGCAGUAUCAUAUGAUAUUUGACUUACUUCAUUUAGUAUGAGAAUCUCUAGGUCCAUCCAUGUUGCUGCUAAUAGCAUUAUUUUAUUCUUUUUUAUGGCUGAGUAGUAUUCCAUUGUGUAUAUGUACCACAUCUUCUUUAUCCAUUCAUCUGUGGAUAGCCAUCACAGUUGUUUCCAUGUCUUGGCUAUUGUAAAUAGUGCUGCUAUGAACACUGAAGUGCAUGUACUUUUCUUUUUUUUUCUUUUUUGGCCACACCAUGGCAUAUGGAGUUCCUAGGCUAGGGAUCAGAUCUGAGCCACAGUUGCAACCUAAGCUGCAGCUGCAGCAAUGCUGGAUCCUUAGCCUACUGUGCGGGGCUGGUGAUCGAACCUGUGUCCCAGUGCUCUCAAGAUGCCACCAAUCCUGUUGCACCACAGCAGGAACUCCUGUACUUUUCAAAUUAUAGUUUUCUCCCAAAAUAUGCCCAGCAGUGGGAUUAUAGGAUCAUAUGGUAGUUCUAUGUCUAGUUUUUUAAGGAACUUCCAUUCUGUUCUCCACAGUGGCUGCACCAAUUUACAUUCUCCCCAACAAGGGAGGGUUUCUUUUUGGGGCUGGAGGAUCUCUUGCCUUGGCGUGGGAUUGACCCAAGGGAUUGACUGGAGUACAAAAGGAAGGACACUGAGGAUAAAAGCCUGGCCUGGCCUGAAUUGGGCAGCUCUAGUGGCACUCAGUGUAAUGAAGCAUUUUCAAACUACCCAUGAAAUAUCUUUUAGGUGAUAAAAUCUUUAUGUUCAAACUGCUAGAAAAUAUUUGAAACAAGCCAUUCCUAAGUAUGUUGAGGCAAGUGUUCAUAAGACACACUACACAUAUGUGUAAGUUAAAUUUUUUAUUAAAUAGAAUUGAAUUCAAUAGUUUUAAAAAGGGUUUGCUAUUGGGUUACAUGGAGGAAUGUAUGUGGUUUGAUUGUAGCCCUCACUUUUCAAUGCUUUGAAUGUCAAAAAGACAUAGGAUGGCACCUUUCUUAGGAAAUAUAUGAUUUAUAAUAUUCUCCACACUCAAUUAAAAUUGAGUGUGUAUUAGUCAAGAUUAGAUUACCAGAAGAUCCAAAAUAACAGUGGUUUAAAGGAAAUAAAGUUUCUUUUUCUCUCCUGUAAAGAGGUCAGGAGUCUGUUCAUGGAUGGUUUGGUGGCUUCAUGGUAUCAGGGACCCAUGCUCCUCCUAUCUUGUUAUCACUAUGGGUGAAUUCUAUUUUCAAAUUCACCUCAUGGCCCAACAUGGCUGUGGAACUCCAACAAUCAUAUCUGCAAUCUAGGCAGUAGGGAGUGAAAGUAAGGGAAUGCUCUCUUCCACUUCCAUCUCCUUGGCUAGGACCCUGUAAUAUGCCACAUCUGGGUAUACAGUAGGCUGAUAAAUGUAUGAUUUCAGCUAGACAUAAUGUUCUCAGCUAAAACAAUAACUGGGAUUAUUU